UGUUUGUAUUUUGCACUUGCCCGGAGGUGUUUCACGGGAAGUGAGCAUUUUUUAAAACAAAAAUAGAAUUUAGAAAAAAAAAAGGCAGACACGAUGGAUUUCUAGUGUUGUACGUGCUGUAGAAAGCACUUGAAAAUGCGUUUUGCCAGGGGCCGCAACCAGAAGCUACAUGACUUCUGGAAUCUGUUCCUUACACAGUAAAUUCCUGGGCCAGUUGGUAAACAGCAAGGAGCCACAAGAAAUCACUCAUAGGCAAAAGCCGAGUGAGCCCAGGCCAAGCUCCACUUUGUCCACUUUGCCCUAUUUUUGGAAUUCAGGGGGAAACAUCUUGGGAGCAGGCCCAUUGCACCCCUCUGCCUCCUCUCGAUGCCUUACAGUUGGUGGGGUUUGACACAUGGAAAAUUGUGAAAGUUAGAACACGGAACAAAAAUGAAGCCUCAACAUAGAGUUAAUAGAGGCAAGGGGCUACAGAGAAUUUAGAUCCUAAUCAAGCACGUCUUAUGUACUAGCGCUUCCCUGGAAGGCCAGGAUAACUUUAUGACUACAAAGAAAACAUGUUUUCCUGCUUGGAAGUUGCCAGAACUUGUCUAAUAUAAAAGCUGGGAUUUCUUGCCCGUGGGCUGUCGCGUACGGCUACCCAGGCCGCCUCGUGAAGCCUCCUCCUGGGAGCUCGGCGCCCUCAGGUGCUCCCUGAGAUGCCAGCACCUGAACGACCUGCUCCAGGGAGGCUUUAGCCCCAAGAAGGUUCUGGAAAGCUCCAGGAAGUUUAGCCGGCACGCACAAAAGCCAGAGACAAAUCUCCAGCCUGCCUGGAAAUGCUGUGGGCUCAGGGCAAUGGGCUGAGGUCUUGUGUCCAAAACUGCUCUUGCAUCUCCCUGGGGAGCCCGGGUGGGCAGGAACAACAAGGUCCUGUGGCCAUGCCCUCGCCCCAUGCUCACCCACACUGCCUGUGCCUGCUGGGCCCAUCUCAGGGCUGCACUGGCCCCUAGUGGCCAAGCAUGGGCUCUACCCCUCUGCGCCUGCCUGGCUGCCUGUGCAGGUGCCCACCACACUGUCCCUGAGCAGAGCAGAGACCAGCCUGAGCCCCGGGCUCCGUGGCUACCAUGCUGAGAGUGAGCCCUGUGCAUGCACACACACUUACGAUGCUGCUGGCCCCGAGCAGUGGCCGGCCACACGGGCUGCUAGUCAUACUGCCCGCUGCUCCUGGGACUCCUGAGCCCCUCACUCUCUAUAGGGUGAGGAUGCCCAGCUCUGCAAGACACACAGCAAACGGAGCCUCAGAGUGCACAGCGUGGAGAUGGGGCUCCCCCCACAGGCUGCACCCCCAUCUAGUCCCGGGGAACGAGAAUGAAGGGCCUACCUGAGCACACAAGCCCCAGGAGGGCAUGGGAGCUGCAUUUGGGGGCAGUGACUGGGAGGGCUGCUGACUCCAGGCUCAGGUUAAAAGACAGACGGCAACACUGGGGUUGCAGAGCUCAGGAGCCAGUCCUGGCCCCCUGCCUCCUCCCUCAUGAGGUUCCCCUGAUCCCCAGGACAUCGGCUUCCACAUCUGCACAUCUGGGAGACAAAUGCACCAUCAGGGAGGGCAAAUCAUACCUGGGAAGGGCCUGACUCCAGCAGUUUCAGCAGUGGCUGAAAGAUCAUGGCUAUUUUUGCCAUCAUUACAAUGGAAUGUCCACUCCCUCCAGCCACCUCCACAGCAAUCAACACCGGUGUCCAGCCACUCUACAUGGACGUGUGGGGAACAGAGCACAGGCCUCUUGGCUUGGCUGUGGUCACCGGGAGGGAGCAGGGAGGGACAGCUGCCAAGAGGAUGGGGGAGGGAGCCUGCUACUCAGGAACGCUGGGGCAAGACAUGAGACAAAGGGCUGCCUUCACCCACCAGUAGGAGCCUGACCCUGAGCCCAAAGAAACUGCCCACCUGUGUGCUGACCCCAGGGCCUGAGGACAGGUCCCCAAGUGGACGUCUCAAAGAGAGUCCCACAUUCCAGGGCACAUGGGAACUAUGGCCUUCUGGCAGCUGGAGGGCAGCAGGAAGGGCACAGCUGUCUGAGACCCGUGUGGCUUCCCAGAAAGAGGUGCCACCCCUGAGGAGGCACCGGUGCUCACGGACUCCUGGUUGCCAGUCUUGCCAGGGCAAAAAGGCAAGCGAAGGAAACCCUCUCUUCGUGGGGCACUCUGCCUUGCAGUGUCAGGUGAGAUCCCGGGGGGAAAGCUGGCUUGAGCUCCUCUGGAAUGUGCAGGGAGGACUCCGUCAGGCCCGGCUCUGCCUCCAAGCUGGGCAGCAGGCGAGCCCCAGAGCUCCACCAGCCCCACUGGCAGAGGAGGGCCCUCACGAGGCAGGAGCCCAUGAUUCAUGCCCUGCUGGAAUUUGUCGAGCAUGCCGAGAUUUGCAGCUCCUCCGAGAUUGGGUCCUGCCCUGAUCAAAAGAAAAGAAGAUGGAUGAGGACACUAUAAAUAGGCCAGAGCCACCCAGCUGGCCUCGGGGAUGCAGGCGGUAUGUGUUCUGGGCUCUCACGAAGCUAAGAAACUCUAAAUCCAAGGUGACAUCGUGGCACACCGCCACCUGCUUCAGGGGGACACAGGGGACAAGGAGGAGCUAUUGGCAGAGCGCUCGGUUCCUGCAAGUUCCAACUUCUGCUAAAAUUGGUUAAUUGGUUCCUUUGCAUGAUUCAGGGCACACAGGCUUCUCUGUCCACAAAAUUUGCUCGCCUGCACACCCAGAGAAAUGGACUUGGCUUGGUUUUUCUGAACUUUUGCCUCUGCGGAAUCAGCAGUGGACGUGUGAGCUGGGGCCUCUGUCCCUGUCAUGUGAGGAGGUCAGGCAGGACAAGCAGGAAGCACUGGGCAAUGAGUCAGGAGGCCUGGUGGGGAGCUUGGGUGAGUCUGUUUUCCUCUCUGGACCUCAGUCUUCUCCUCUGGUUGAUGUAAUAAAAUCCUACAAACUGA
rnacentral:lncRNA from 10 species